UACGGAGGAGGCAAGCGUUAUCCGGAAUUAUUGGGCGUAAAGCGUCCGCAGGUGGCACUUCAAGUCUGUCGUCAAAGACCGGGGCUCAACCCCAGAAAGGCGGUGGAAACUGAAAGACUAGAGUGCGGUAGGGGCAGAGGGAAUUCCCGGUGUAGCGGUGAAAUGCGUAGAGAUCGGGAAGAACACCGGUGGCGAAAGCGAUCUGCUGGGCCGCAACUGACACUCAGGGACGAAAGCUAGGGGAGCGAAUGGG
rnacentral:rRNA from 1 species